GGGGGCGUCAACGGGGCGAAAUUUAAAGCACUGACUGCGCUCGAAGAGACUUAUGUAGCAACGCCUUUGGACAGGAGUUCGAUUCUCCUCGCCUCCACCA
rnacentral:tmRNA from 1 species